rnacentral:rRNA from 1 species
AGAGUUUGAUCCUGGCUCAGAUUGAACGCUGGCGGCAGGCCUAACACAUGCAAGUCGAACGGUAACAGGAAACAGCUUGCUGUUUCGCUGACGAGUGGCGGACGGGUGAGUAAUGUCUGGGAAACUGCCUGAUGGAGGGGGAUAACUACUGGAAACGGUAGCUAAUACCGCAUAACGUCGCAAGACCAAAGAGGGGGACCCUCGGGCCUCUUGCCAUCGGAUGUGCCCAGAUGGGAUUAGCUUGUUGGUGGGGUAACGGCUCACCAAGGCGACGAUCCCUAGCUGGUCUGAGAGGAUGACCAGCCACACUGGAACUGAGACACGGUCCAGACUCCUACGGGAGGCAGCAGAAGGGCGAAUU